GUUUCCUACUCAACGGUGGACACGCGGCGUCACGACACAUGUUUACAUAUACAUACACCAUAUAUAUGCAACACACAUACACAUAAGUACACUGUAUACAUGGCACACAUACAUAAAUACACUAUAUAUACACUACACACAUACCACCCAACUAAGGAGCUAAACUAUCUAACGGCGCACAAAGCAAUGGAAAUGAACAUCUGCUGCUGCCGCCAGAGCACCGGAUCGGGACUCAGCCGGUAACACGGUUCUCCGAUCCAGUUGUAAUUUUAACAACCGGAUCUGGAGAACUGGCUGAAUCCCAUGCCUGGGUAUGCCCCCUUGUUUGCCAAGUCUUUUUGUUCUGUCUACCCAGAGGUCUUGUCCAUAAAAUUGCCGCUGAUGGAGGGUCAUGUGACCAGGCAAAUCACCUCCAUGUGAUGUCUCAUGUGUUCAAAUACACUGAUCUGCCAUCCUCACUUGUACUGUUGGGAGUUCAGUGCUGUGUGUUUAAAUCGAGGAGGCCGAGUGAUGUGUCUGGUCACAUGACCCUCCAUCAGCGGCCAUCUUAUGGACAGGACCUCUAUGUGGACAGCACAGCAAGGGGACAUGGAUUAUAAUAUAUAGCAAACGGCACAGAAUAUUAGUAAAUGUUAUAUAGUCAUCUUACAUACACAUUGGUCACAAGUAGCCAGGAAGUGGUCAACCCCUUGAAUUUUAAUUUUCCUUCCUCUUAACCUGUGUUCAUUCUUAUGGUUCUUUGAAGUGUAAUAAUUAACUAUAGCAUUGCCAAGUGCCCCCCUCCCAUUUUGCAGCUUUACCUUUUAAGCACUUGUUCUCUUUUUAAAUAUCUGUAAUGAUUUUAUUGCCUAAAACAAACAAAUUGGGCCAUGCUACGGCACUAAGAGCCCUCUCUCUCUCUGUUGCAUACCUACAACCCACAGCAUACCCUGCCCUGAUUUUUCACUGCAUUAGGAUCUGUUUCCAAUGCAGUGGAGGUCAAUCUGGAACAAUAUUGGGGCCACAAAUGAGGUUCUCGAU